ACUCCUACGGGAGGCAGCAGUGGGGAAUAUUGCACAAUGGGCGCAAGCCUGAUGCAGCCAUGCCGCGUGUGUGAAGAAGGCCUUCGGGUUGUAAAGCACUUUCAGUCGUGAGGAAGGUAGUGUAGUUAAUAGCUGCAUUAUUUGUACGUUAGCGACAGAAGAAGCACCGGCUAACUCCGUGCCAGCAGCCGCGGUAAUACGGAGGGUGCGAGCGUUAAUCGGAAUUACUGGGCGUAAAGCGCAUGCAGGUGGUUUGUUAAGUCAGAUGUGAAAGCCCGGGGCUCAACCUCGGAAUAGCAUUUGAAACUGGCAGACUAGAGUACUGUAGAGGGGGUAGAAUUUCAGGUGUAGCGGUGAAAUGCGUAGAGAUCUGAAGGAUACCGGUGGCGAAGGCGGCCCCUGGACAGAUACUGACACUCAGAUGCGAAAGCGUGGGAGCAAACAGGAUUAGAUACCCCUGGUAGCGACUGA
rnacentral:rRNA from 1 species